rnacentral:rRNA from 1 species
ANNCAUGCAGUCGAGCGGAAACGAGUUACUGAACCUUCGGGGAACGUUAACGGCGUCGAGCGGCGGACGGGUGAGUAAUGCCUGGGAAAUUGCCCUGAUGUGGGGGAUAACCAUUGGAAACGAUGGCUAAUACCGCAUAAUAGCUUCGGCUCAAAGAGGGGGACCUUCGGGCCUCUCGCGCCAGGAUAUGCCCAGGUGGGAUUAGCUAGUUGGUGAGGUAAUGGCUCACCAAGGCGACGAUCCCUAGCUGGUCUGAGAGGAUGAUCAGCCACACUGGAACUGAGACACGGUCCAGACUCCUACGGGAGGCAGCAGUGGGGAAUAUUGCACAAUGGGCGCAAGCCUGAUGCAGCCAUGCCGCGUGUAUGAAGAAGGCCUUCGGGUUGUAAAGUACUUUCAGCAGUGAGGAAGGUAUCGUAGUUAAUAGCUGCGGUAUUUGACGUUAGCUGCAGAAGAAGCACCGGCUAACUCCGUGCCAGCAGCCGCGGUAAUACGGAGGGUGCGAGCGUUAAUCGGAAUUACUGGGCGUAAAGCGCAUGCAGGUGGUUUGUUAAGUCAGAUGUGAAAGCCCGGGGCUCAACCUCGGA